ensembl:lncRNA
AAAAAAAAAAAAAAAAAAAAAAAAAAGAGCGCUUGGACACUGUGGACAGGUUUUUGACGGGGCUUCCACACAAACGCAAAGCAGGAGAGGAAGCAUCGCCAAAUAUGUCUCCAAACCAACUUCCUUCCAAGCCAAAGACUAGAAAAUAUGGUGAAGCAUAUCUUCCCUUUGGCUUCACCUGCACAAGUGCCAAGGACUGGACUGAGGGGUCAGCAGCCUAAGCAAGAAUGACCAGACCUCCCUCUCCCCAGCAACCUCCUCCAUCUUAUCCGGGGGAAGACCGAUGCAUUCCAAGGCCAGCCGAGAGAUAUAAUGUCUUCAGCCGAUCUGCCCAGGGCCAUCCUACAUCAUACAUCUGGAUGAAUGGAUGGAAAGCUCCAGGGAAAAGCUAUGAUUCUGACAAGUAUUGUCAACAUAUAAAAAGUACUGAA